GUAGCUCAGUGGUAGAGUGUUUGCUUUGUAUGCAUGAGGUCCUGGGUUCGAUUCCUCAGC
rnacentral:tRNA from 1 species